rnacentral:SRP_RNA from 1 species
GCCGAGCUCAGUUGCGCGGGCUUGUAACCCAUGUGGGGGUAUUAAGGUGGUGUGGAUGCUUGGUACCGUGUCUUUGCCUGGGUCCAUGGUGUGCCUUUGUUGGCCUGCCCGUUCCAAGUUGGUAGUGGCCGUUGGAAGCCAAGGCGAAGGCCCUGGGCUUCCUUGGACCUAUAGUGGCAGGAACGGCGUGAGGCUGUCUUCACAGAGCAGCGAUCACUGCCCGCUAUUAACGGUGGAAGGAUAACAGGCCACUGCAGCAUGGGCUCGCUUUAAGGCCUAGACUUUCAUACUAAAGCAGACCACCAUUUUU